rnacentral:hammerhead_ribozyme from 1 species
AUCCAGAUGACGAGUCCCAAAUAGAACGAAAUGCGCUUCCUGAU